rnacentral:tRNA from 1 species
GCCGAGAUAGCUCAGUUGGCAGAGCACGUUCUUGGUAAGAACGGGGUCCUGGGGGUCCUGGGUUCGAUUCCCAGUCUCGGCUCCA